UAACGAAUCUUCCGCAAUGGGCGAAAGCCUGACGGAGCAAUGCCGCGUGUGGGAUGAAGCGUCUCUGACGUGUAAACCACUGUCAGGGGGCAGGAACAAUGACCGCCCCCAAAGGAAGUGGCGACUAACUCUGUGCCAGCAGUCGCGGUAAUACAGAGGCCACAAGCGUUAGUCGGAAUCACUGGGCUUAAAGGGUGCGUAGGCGGCUCGAAAAGUGCUUUGUGAAAUCCCGGGGCUCAACCCCGGGAACAGCAGGGCAUACUGUCGAGCUUGAGGCAGGUAGGGGUCGCGAGAACAGUAGGUGGAGCGGUGAAAUGCGUAGAUAUCUACUGGAAUGCCGAUGGUGAAGACGCGCGACUGGGCCUGUCCUGACGCUGAGGCACGAAAGCGUGGGGAGCAAAC
rnacentral:rRNA from 1 species